rnacentral:rRNA from 1 species
GACGAACGCUGGCGGCGUGCUUAACACAUGCAAGUCGAACGGAAAGGCCCCUUUGGGGGUCCUCGAGUGGCGAACGGGUGCGUAACACGUGAGUAACCUGCCCUUGACUUCGGGAUAACUUCAGGAAACUGGGGCUAAUACCGGAUAGGAAUCCUUGCUGCAUGGUGGGGGUUGGAAAGCUUCGGCGGUUUUGGAUGGACUCGCGGCUUAUCAGCUUGUUGGUGGGGUAGUGGCUUACCAAGGCUUUGACGGGUAGCCGGCCUGAGAGGGCGACCGGCCACAUUGGGACUGAGAUACGGCCCAGACUCCUACGGGAGGCAGCAGUGGGGAAUAUUGCACAAUGGGCGGAAGCCGGAUGCAGCAACGCCGCGUGCGGGAUGACGGCCUUCGGGUUGUAAACCGCUUUCAGCAGGGGCGAAGCUUGUGGUGACGGUACCUGCAGAAGAAGCACCGGCUAACUACGUG